AAUGAAAGCUGGCGGCAUGCCUAACACAUGCAAGUCGAACGAAGGCUUCGGCCUUAGGGGCGCACGGGCGCGUAACGCGUGGGAAACUGCACCCCGGUUCGGCAUACCAGCGAGAAAUUGCUGCUAAUACCGGAUGGUAUCUGGAGAUCAAAGAUUUAUAGCGUGAGGAUGAGCCCGCGUAGGUUUAGCUAGUUGGUGUGGUAAAGGCGGACAAAGGCGCCGAUCCUUAGGUGGGCUGAGAGGAUGAUCAGCCGAACUGGGACUGAGACACGGCCCAGACUCCUACGGGAGGCAGCAGUGGGGAAUAUUGGACAAUGGGCGAAAGCCUUAUCCAGCAAUGCCGCGUGAGUGAUGAAGGCCUUAGGGUUGUAAAGCUCUUUUACCCGGGAUGAUAAUGACAGUACCGGGAGAAUAAGCUCCGGCUAACUCCGUGCCAGCCGCCGCCGUAA
rnacentral:rRNA from 1 species